rnacentral:lncRNA from 1 species
CCCCGUCCCAUUAAGGUCGGAGGUGGUGCCUUACAAUGAGGAUUCUAAGGUGGACCGCAAACAAACUGCCGCCUAUGUUCCAAUGGGGGGUGAAGAUGAUUUUUACAUAGACAUGUCCCAGUUCGCAUUGUCUCGCAUUAAUGAGGGUUCUAAGGUGAACUGCAAACGAACAGCCACCGAUAUACCUGAUGUCUUGGGGUCUGCGAUCAGACGAUCAGUCUUGGGGCCUGUGAUCAGAGGACCAGUGUCGGGCGAAGGUGCUUAUAAACACAAAAGACCGUGUGUGCCUUGUAAUGAGUGUUCUAAGGAGCACCCCUCUUUUCCU